ACAAUCCUAUUGGGUUUAUUUAAUGUUUAAAUACGUUUUUAGUUGACUUAAACCCCAAGCAUUCUGCAUAAGAAGUCCGAUACCUGUAUGUAGAAUUCAUUUUUGGGGGGGGGGGAUUUGACCAUAUUCAGUAGAAUCAGCCCUGUAUAAGGCAGCUUGUUCCCAUACAUAUUGCCCAUCAUUCUAAGUAGAAGAAGUUGUAGCUAGAUAUUCAGCAGGUUUUUGUAGCUUGUAUUUGGGAUUUUGGUGAUAAAUCUGUUUAAUCUAUUUUUCCUUCCUUUCAUGCCAAACCGCACAUUACUACGAGGGAUAUUAUCUAAAAUUCUGAAUGUAGGAAAGCAAGGAUGGUACCUCUAAACAGCUGAAGAAUGCCAUUAUCAGAGAGACAAUGGAGCCCCAUGAACUGCACUGAAUCAACUCCACAUGGGGACCUGGACCAAAUAGACAGCACUUGAACAACAUAUUGGCAUGACAUUACAUUACAGUUGGAACCAGUAGCAAGUGGUCCAUUAAGACUAAGAAACCAACUUACACAACUAAUUCCAGGUACACCUGCAAGCCUGACCUGACUAUCCUUAUACUAAAAACAAAAAUAAAUAUUAACAAAAAUUUA